rnacentral:rRNA from 1 species
AUUGAACGCUGGCGGCAUGCUUUACACAUGCAAGUCGAACGGUAACAGGUUAAGCUGACGAGUGGCGAACGGGUGAGUAAUGCAUCGGAACGUGCCCGGUCGUGGGGGAUAACGCAGCGAAAGCUGCGCUAAUACCGCAUACGAUCUGAGGAUGACAGCGGGGGACCGUAAGGCCGCCCGCGACCGGCGCGCCCGAUGUCAGAUUAGGUAGUUGGUGGGGUAAAGGCUCACCAAGCCGACGAUCUGUAGCUGGUCUGAGAGGACGACCAGCCACACUGGGACUGAGACACGGCCCAGACUCCUACGGGAGGCAGCAGUGGGGAAUUUUGGACAAUGGGCGCAAGCCUGAUCCAGCAAUGCCGCGUGCAGGAAGAAGGCCUUCGGGUUGUAAACUGCUUUUGUACGGAGCGAAAAGGCUCUCUCUAAUACAGGGGGCUCAUGACGGUACCGUUAGAAUAAGCACCGGCUAACUACGUGCCAGCAGCCGCCGUAA